rnacentral:rRNA from 1 species
CCUACGGGGGGCUGCAGUGGGGAAUUUUGGACAAUGGGCGCAAGCCUGAUCCAGCCAUGCCGCGUGCGGGAAGAAGGCCUUCGGGUUGUAAACCGCUUUUGUCAGGGAAGAAAAGUUCCGGGUUAAUACCCUGGGAUGCUGACGGUACCUGAAGAAUAAGCACCGGCUAACUACGUGCCAGCAGCCGCGGUAAUACGUAGGGGGCGAGCGUUAAGUGGAAUUACUGGGCGUAAAGGUGCAACAGGCGGUUGAAAUCCCCGGGCUCAACCUGGGAACUGCAUUUGUGACUGCACGACUGGAGUGCGGCAGAGGGGGAUGGAAUUCCGCGUGUAGCAGUGAAAUGCGUAGAUAUGCGGAGGAACACCGAUGGCGAAGGCAAUCCCCUGGGCCUGCACUGACGCUCAUGCACGAAAGCGUGGGGAGCAAACAGGAUUAGAUACCCCAGUAGUC